GGCGUGCCUAAUACAUGCAAGUCGAGCGGAUCUUCAUUAGCUUGCUUUUGAAGAUCAGCGGCGGACGGGUGAGUAACACGUGGGCAACCUGCCUGUAAGACUGGGAUAACUUCGGGAAACCGGAGCUAAUACCGGAUAAUCCUUUCCCUCACAUGAGGGAAAGCUGAAAGACGGUUUCGGCUGUCACUUACAGAUGGGCCCGCGGCGCAUUAGCUAGUUGGUGAGGUAACGGCUCACCAAGGCAACGAUGCGUAGCCGACCUGAGAGGGUGAUCGGCCACACUGGGACUGAGACACGGCCCAGACUCCUACGGGAGGCAGCAGUAGGGAAUCUUCCGCAAUGGACGAAAGUCUGACGGAGCAACGCCGCGUGAGCGAUGAAGGCCUUCGGGUCGUAAAGCUCUGUUGUCAGGGAAGAACAAGUACCGGAGUAACUGCCGGUACCUUGACGGUACCUGACCAGAAAGCCACGGCUAACUACGUGCCAGCAGCCGCGGUAAUACGUAGGUGGCAAGCGUUGUCCGGAAUUAUUGGGCGUAAAGCGCGCGCAGGCGGUUCCUUAAGUCUGAUGUGAAAGCCCCCGGCUCAACCGGGGAGGGUCAUUGGAAACUGGGGAACUUGAGUGCAGAAGAGGAGAGCGGAAUUCCACGUGUAGCGGUGAAAUGCGUAGAGAUGUGGAGGAACACCAGUGGCGAAGGCGGCUCUCUGGUCUGUAACUGACGCUGAGGCGCGAAAGCGUGGGGAGCGAACAGGAUUAGAUACCCUGGUAGUCCACGCCGUAAACGAUGAGUGCUAAGUGUUAGAGGGUUUCCGCCCUUUAGUGCUGCAGCAAACGCAUUAAGCA
rnacentral:rRNA from 2 species